rnacentral:lncRNA from 1 species
GUGGACUGCAUCAUUUCUCCUAGUCUAAUAUUCUAAGACUUGCAGGAUGAUAAUUUAGGUUGAGCUGGGUAAAGUCAGCUUCUACUAUAAUCUCUAAGAAGAUUCCAGUAACAUGUGGAGGAAUCAUGUGUGCAUUAUUGCUUCCUAAGAUGCCUGCACAUCAUUCCUGAAAAUUACAGGCUUUUUCAUCCAUCUGUAAGCAUGUACUAACUCUGAAAACUUCUACCUAUGCAAGGAUGCUGUUGACUCUUCAUUUUUCUCCUCUUGCAUACUGCCUCUGAUGUCAUCUUUCUUCAGCUUUUCUGUACAGAUGGAAGGGCAGAAGUCUACCAGUGUAGCUCUGAUUCUCUUUGCUACCCAAAGACAAAACUUCAAGAGAAAGGACUCCAGGCUAAGACUCUUAUCAUCACAGAGGAUGGACUCCGUACAGCCCCAGGAAACAUGUGAAAUUAGUAUUAUCGGAGAGUAAAAAUCCC